GGGUUGGUGCAGUUGGCUAGCAUCCCGGGUUUGCGUCCCUGUGGUCGUGUGUUCAACUCCCACUCAACUUA
rnacentral:tRNA from 1 species